rnacentral:piRNA from 1 species
UUCAGAAUGGACUGAAGCGUUCCUCUGUC